GGGCGGCGGCGCGCGCAUGCGCAGAGCGGGUGACUUUGAGGGCGGCGGAGCGGGAUGCUGAGCAAGCUGGUGGGGCCGCGCUACGUCCAGCUGCUGCAGAACUGGACUCCCACCCUUGUUACGUGGGGUGGCGUAGCUGGGACAGGUCUAAUAUGGUUCACGGACUGGAAACUAGUCCUUCAGUAUGUUCCCUACAUCGGUGGCAAGUUUAAAAAAGAAGACUGAGCUUCCCCCUAAUGGAAAUUUUUUGCUGGACUGAGUGUUUUGGAGCCGUCCUUCUGCUGAGACCUUGCUUUGAUGUGAGCUUGUAAUGCCCAGUACAGAUUCUGCAACAGGCUGUGAUGUUCCUUUCUCUCCCAUGAACAGCUGUGACCGUUUGAUUAUGAACAAAAUAACUUCACUUACCACCUGCCUAGUGCUUUUUCUGCGAUCACUUUCACAGCAGAUCUCAUUCUCAUGGGAAUAACUUAUAAAACUGAUGUACAAAAUAAACCAAGUGAAUAAUA